CCCCCGCUACAGCAGCCUAUGAAACGUGCCUCCGAAAGCGCACGCGGGUGGCCAGCUCUUAAACAGGCGGCUAUGUGGAGAUGUCCCGGUGCGUCGUCGUCCGAACGCUGGACUACAAGUGACGCUUUGAGCAGCACUGUUGCUCCUCUGUCGCUUCACCUCUCUGCAGCAAAGCGGACUAGAAAUGGUCCUAUGCUCAACUCACCGGCAGCGUUCAGAGGUUAGACUCUCAGUCAUCAGAGGGUCAGAGGCACAGACACAUCAUCCACCCUCCUCCUGGCUUGGAAGAGUCGCCCGUCUGCCUACAUUCAUCUAAACAGCAGAGAAGACAGACAGGGAGCGUACGCUGUAGUUGUGCUGCCUGUGUGUGUGUGUGUGUGUGUGUGUGUGUGUGUGUGUGUGUGUGUGUGUGUGUGUCAGCGCUUCAGUGCCUUUAGUGUUUCCCCAAGUCAUUCACUCUCUGUGGGUGUGUAUGGAUGCAGUGAUGUGUGGUUGUGCCGAGGUGGGCAGUUAAGAGGAAGACGGGACCUAUUCAAAUCAGCAAAACGCAAUCAAGCACGUG